rnacentral:tRNA from 1 species
GUUUUGAUUGUUUAAUUGAAAACUUUGGUCCUGUCAACCAAAAAAAAAUAUAUUAAAUUCUCAAAAUA